rnacentral:sRNA from 1 species
AUAUCUCUCCGUACGGGAAGGAUGAGAAGCUUCGACUAAGGUUCGAUUCGAGCGCAGCGAGAAAGCGUUGCCGCAGGCAACGACCCGAAGGGCGAAGCGCG